AGGAUACCUGUGAUCUUGAAAACCAGAAUAAUUGUAUUGUCUGAUGUCAACGUGGAGGAAGAAUGUGGAGCAUUCAGCAACGAUAAGCAAAACUUAAAUGCUUUGGAGGUGGAGUUACAACAAAACUCCCCGUUGCAGUGAUGGACACGUUCAAUAAUAUCCGGGAUGAAGAAGCUGGGAGGAGGCGCUGCUAAUAAUUGCGAAGGAUGUCAAGAAGGAAGAACUAAUGUGUUUAAACAUAUGGGCUGGGAUUCCUCUCACCUCACCAAUCAUGUAAAAAUUAGCACCCUGUUCUCCAAUUAGUCUCUGUACUGGGAGCGUGUGGAAGAAGGUAGCUGCGUCAUGGAGGUGACCAUCUGGGAGCCACAAGGCAUGGUCCAAGGGAGCACCAGUAGAUCUUGUGA